rnacentral:rRNA from 1 species
GAUCAGCUUGCUUCGCGGAGCUUGCGCAUUUCCUCGCAUGGCAGGUCAGCGUCAGUUUUGCGCGGCGUGAAAAGGCUCGGGUAAGGUAGCUCUCUUCGGGGAGUGUUAUAGACCUGGGCAAAUGCGCAGCGCGGGACUGAGGAUUGCAGCGGACACCUCUUCGGAGGCGCGGCGACCGAACCCUGCUCGGCCACCCUCGUUCGAUAGCGUGCUAACGGACGCGGGAGCGGCAGUGCACCGGAACAGGCAAGCCAGCGGUUCGCUUAGGAUGCUGACGUA